UACGUAGGGAGCAAGCGUUGUCCGGAAUCAUUGGGCGUAAAGCGCGCGUAGGCGGCCCGAUAAGUCCGCUGUAAAAGUCAACGGCUCAACUGUUGAAAGCCUGGUGGAUACUGUCGGGCUAGAGUACGGAAGAGGCAAGUGGAAUUCCUGGUGUAGCGGUGGAAUGCGCAGAUAUCAGGAGGAACACCCAUAGCGAAGGCAGCUUGCUGGGACGUUACUGACGCUAAGGCGCGAAAGCGUGGGGAGCGAACAGG
rnacentral:rRNA from 1 species